rnacentral:lncRNA from 1 species
AUUCCAACUACUUGUGAGGCUGAGUCAGGAAGAUUACAAGUUUGAAUCCAGCCUGGGAAACUUAAUAAAACCCUGUCUCAAAAUAAAAUGAAAAAAAAAAAAGGGCUGGGGAUUUAGCUCAGUGGUAAAGCAUAUGCCUAGCAUGUACAAAGCCCUGGGUUCCAUUGCUAGCACUGAAAGAGAGAGAAAUUAUGAUUAUUAUUUUCGCUUUUUGAAAACCUCAGUGACCCAAGGGGGAAUAAAUAUAUCAACAACCAGGACCACCACCCUGUCCCUUCGUAGCUGGAUAGGUUUGGGAGAGAGGUUUAAGGCAUGGCCCCUGAAAAUGCUUUCCUCCUUUGGCACAGUUUGCCAGUUACCUCCCAUGCAGGUAAUUGUGGACUGUUUCCUGUCUCCUAGGCCAGCAAAAAGGAACGCUUCCUCCAGGUGCAAUCCAUGAUGUAUGAUCUGAUGGAGUGGAGGUCCCAGCUCCUCUCAGGGACUCUGCCCAAGGAUGAGCUCAAGGAACUGAAGCAGAAAGUCACGUCCAAAAUCGACUAUGGCAAUAAGAUCCUUGAGCUUGAUCUGAUUGUCAGAGAUGAAGAUGGAAACAUCUUGGACCCUGAUAAUACCAGCGUCAUCAGCUUGUUCCAUGCGCAUGAGGAGGCCACAGAGAAAAUCACAGAGCGCAUCAAGGAGGAAAUGUCAAAAGACCAACCAGACUAUGGAAUGUAUUCCCGAAUCUCCUCAUCCCCCACUCAUAGCCUCUAUGUCUUUGUGAGAAAUUUUGUGUGCAGAAUUGGGGAAGAUGCUGAGCUCUUCAUGUCUCUCUAUGACCCCAACAAGCAAAUGGUCAUAAGGGGGAGUGGAGCUGUGCUGGUUAGUUUCCUGUGAGGUCCAC